UAAGGAAUAUUGGUCAAUGGACGCAAGUCUGAACCAGCCAUGCCGCGUGCAGGAAGACGGCCUUAUGGGUUGUAAACUGCUUUUGUCAGGGAAUAAACCCUCCUUUGCGAAGGGGGCUGAAGGUACCUGAAGAAUAAGCACCGGCUAACUCCGUGCCAGCAGCCGCGGUACUACGGAGGGUGCAAGCGUUAUCCGGAUUCAUUGGGCUUAAAGGGUGCGCAGGCGGGCUUGUAAGUCAGUGGUGAAAUCCGACUGCUUAACCGUGGAACGGCGUUUGAUACUGCCGGUCUUGAGGAUAGUUGAGGUGGGCGGAAUGUAGCAUGUAGCGGUGAAAUGCAUAGAUAUGCUACAGAACACCAAUUGCGAAGGCAGCUCACUAAGUUAUAACUGACGCUCAUGCACGAAAGCGUGGGGAUCAAACA
rnacentral:rRNA from 1 species